GAUGAACGCUAGCUACAGGCUUAACACAUGCAAGUCGAGGGACCGGCGCACGUGUGAGAUACACGUAUCAAACCCGCCUUUUACUCGGGAAUAGCUUGUCGAGAGACAGAUUACUACACGAUGUGAUGUAUGGGGAUGCGUUUCAUUAGGUGGUUGGUGAAGUAACGGCUAACCAAGCGUUCGAUGGCUAGUGGUUCUGAGAGGAAGGUCCCCCACAUUGGAAAUGAGACACGGUCCAAACUCCUACGGGAGGCAGCAGUGAUGAAUAUUGGUCAAGGGGCGUUAGCCUGAACCAGCCAAGUAGCGUGAAGGAUGAAGGCUUAUGGGUCGUAAACUUCUUUUAUAUAAGAAUAUGUAUUAUAUGAAUAAGGAUCGGCUAACUAUGUGCCAGCAGCCGCGGUAAUUC
rnacentral:rRNA from 1 species